GCCCCAUCGCGGUUAGCCGGCGACAGCCCAUCAGGCGCGGAAGCGAGCAGUGGACCGCCGGACACCUGUCGCUCGACGGGUCGCGGGGUGGAGAA
rnacentral:SRP_RNA from 1 species